UCCUGGUGGCUCAGAUGGUAAAGAAUCUGCCUACAAUGCAGAAGACCCAGGUUCAAUCCCUGGGUCAGGAA
rnacentral:tRNA from 1 species